UACGAAGGGGGCUAGCGUUGCUCGGAAUCACUGGGCGUAAAGCGCACGUAGGCGGACUCUUAAGUCGGUGGUGAAAUCCUGGAGCUCAACUCCAGAACUGCCUUCGAUACUGAGAGUCUCGAGUCCGGGAGAGGUGAGUGGAACUGCGAGUGUAGAGGUGAAAUUCGUAGAUAUCAGGAGGAACACCGGCGGCGAAGGCGGCCAUCUGGCCCGGAACUGACGCUCAUGUGCGAAAGCGUGGGGAGCAAACAGG
rnacentral:rRNA from 1 species